CAAUCGUAUGCUGUAAGAGAUCGGGUGGAUUUGUCUCAAACAUCUGAAGAGCCAAAUCUCUAUUCCAAAAAGCCUGUGUCUGAGUUGCCCAUCGAUAAUUUAUUGCCAUCAGUCUCAGAUGACCAGGCUCUCAUCAGUAACAUGUCUACUUUAAUUGGCUGUGUCUUAAUUUCAGAAUUGUUAUAUUUUUCUCAUACCUUCUCAGAUGUUGUUCUCAAACACAUUGAGCAUCAUCAAUAUAGCAACAUGUCUAAGAAGUCCGAAACGGUUCCACUUGGUAUCAUUUUUAGAAUGAAAAUGUUGUUGAAGACAUGAUUGAUAUCAUGCUAGAACUUCAUAAAUAUGUGCCAUGCGAGAAGAAGACUAAAGUGGAUGCAAGUAGUGGUUGUGAAGUGCCAUGUGAUGUUCAACACAGUAUCUUAUUUGGAGGGGACCAGUUAACUAGAAAACGAGCUGAGACUGCAAAAGAUGCACGGCAAAACAGUCCCUACCAAAUUAAAAGGUCUGAUUCCUGUUUGUAAAGACUGGCACGCAAAGAAGAUUUUUUUGGAGGUGUUGUAGUUGUAAUAACGAUGAUUACCUUUAAUGAUUAUCAUGGUUGUAGAUGAUAUGGAAGUGGCUGUAUGAUAACAAGAGCUUUUUGGAGAAAGGCACUCUAUAUGUCAACUGCGAAACCUUAUUGACCAUAGAAAAAUUUCAGCCUCUGCCUCGGAUGAUUUUAAUGCAUGUGAUGACUACUUUUUGUAACGGUUGUACAAUGCCAUAUUGUUUCUGCAGCCAUGAAUCUGUUAAAAAUGAAAGCCACAUCAGAUAAGCCAGACCAUGUGUUGCUUUAUGGAUCAAAUUGAAAGACGAUAGGAAACUGGUACUCGCUCAAGUUACAAAGGAGAUAUGUCUUAAAUAUGUAGACAUAUUGGCACAUCAUAAUCUAGAAGAAGAUAUUCAAGGAGAUGGAGUAAAAGCAUAUGCUGUUCAAAUAUUGUCACAGGGUCUGUUAUACAUGGAGUUCAGAUGCUAUUUGUGAAGGGGAUGGGUAUAGGAUUCUUAGAUGUUGGCGUUAUCUCAUGCUUGUGUUCCGGUCAAGACAAAGAAAGAACUACUGCAUUAAAGGACUAAACCUAUUGGCUCAAUUCCAUUUCUACUUAAAUGAAAGGCAGUCCCACCAAUUGAUCUGGUCUAGGUGCAUAAAUAUCCAUGGAUUACCAGGACAGAAUGUACCCUGUGAUUUGUUUUUAGAGCAUCUCAACAAAAUAUGUAAGCUGGCAAUAGAGACUUUAGGAAGCAACUUUUCAGAAAAGGCAUUGGAGCAUGUUGGACACUGUGUGGGAAUUCUGGAUGGUCUUUUCGACCAAUUUGAUAGUGAUUUCUGUAUCGACAAACUAUCCGGAAGACAUAUGCUGGCUGAUUCAGAAAAAGAAUAAUUAAUGAGCUAGUCGAAGCAAACGUAUUCUCGUAUGCCCAAAAUAGGGAACAUAAAUCAUUUAAAUCUAUAAAAACUAAUAUCAUGUCAUCAUUGCACUACAAUCAAAAAUUUCAUAAAUGGAUAGCACAGCAACUCUUCUCUAUAAAAACUAAAUUCAUUUAACAUGACAAGUAACAAUCUAGUUAAUACAUGUGCAUGAAUCUAAAUACUUUAUCUCUAAAGUAAAAUAUUCAAUAAAAGUAAGAAUAAUGAUAAUAAAUUCCAAAAAGUAAAAUGCUAUUGAUUGAACA
rnacentral:lncRNA from 1 species